GAUGAACGCUGGCGGUAUGCCUAACACAUGCAAGUCGUACGAGAGUUUUUAACUCUAGUGGCGGACGGGUGAGUAACACGUGAGAAUUUGCCUUUAGGAGGGGGAUAACAAUUGGAAACGAAUGCUAAUACCCCAUAUGCUUUUGAGUGAAAUGGAUUUUAUCCGCCUAGAGAGAAGCUCGCGGCUGAUUAGCUUGUUGGUAAGGUAAGAGCUUACCAAGGCGACGAUCAGUAUCUGGUUUGAGAGGACGAUCAGACACACUGGAACUGAGACACGGUCCAGACUCCUACGGGAGGCAGCAGUGAGGAAUAUUGGACAAUGGGCGCAAGCCUGAUCCAGCCAUGCCGCGUGCAGGAUGACGGUCCUAUGGAUUGUAAACUGCUUUUGUACAGGAAGAAACACUACCCUCGUGAGGGAGCUUGACGGUACUGUAAGAAUAAGGAUCGGCUAACUCCGUGCCAGCAGCCGCGGU
rnacentral:rRNA from 1 species